rnacentral:rRNA from 1 species
UCCAGAGGGGGCAAGCGUUGUUCGGAAUUACUGGGCGUAAAGGGCGCGUAGGCGGCCUUCUAAGUCGAACGUGAAAUCCCUGGGCUCAACCCAGGAACUGCGUCCGAUACUGGAAGGCUUGAAUCCGGGAGAGGGAUGCGGAAUUCCAGGUGUAGCGGUGAAAUGCGUAGAUAUCUGGAGGAACACCGGUGGCGAAGGCGGCAUCCUGGACCGGUAUUGACGCUGAGGCGCGAAAGCCAGGGGAGCAAACGGG